UCUGCUCAAUGAUUUUUUAAAUUGCUGUGGUAUUUUGACUAUACAAAGGUAUUGAAAUAAGACUUUAAUUGAGUGCUAAGAGAAUGGAUUUUCAGAAAAUUUCUUUUUUAAAAUUAAUAAUUUAAUUUAUUUUUGUUUGUGAAGAAGCAACAAUAAAAAUUUAGGACAAGAAGACCCUAAGAAUUUUUAAAAAAUAAUUUUAAAUUUAAAAUUAUUUUUUUUAAUUGGGGCGAUUAAUAAAUAUAACUAACUUUAUUUAAAAUAAACAUGAACCAUUAUUAAUGGUUAAAUGAAUAAAAAUACUCUAGGGAUAACAGCGUAAUAAUUUUUGAUAGUUCUUAUAGACAAAAUAGUUUGCGACCUCGAUGUUGGAUUAGGAUUCUUAUUUAAUGAAGAAGUUAAAAAAAGAAGUUUGUUCAACUUUUAAAUUCCUACUUGAUCUGAGUUCAGACCGGA
rnacentral:rRNA from 1 species